AGAGUUUGAUUAUGGCUCAGGAUGAACGCUAGCGGCAGGCUUAAUACAUGCAAGUCGAACGGUAACAGGUGUAGCAAUACAUGCUGACGAGUGGCAGACGGGUGAGGAACACGUACACAACCUCCCUCUUACUGGGGCACAACUCCGAGAAAUCGGGGCUAAUUCCCCAUAAAAUCUUAGAGUGGCAUCACUUAAAGAUUAAAACUCCGGUGGUAAGAGAUGGGUGUGCGUCUGAUUAGCUAGUUGGUAGGGUAACGGCCUACCAAGGCAACGAUCAGUAACUGGUGUGAGAGCACGACCAGUCACACGGGCACUGAGAUACGGGCCCGACUCCUACGGGAGGCAGCAGUGGGGAAUUUUGGACAAUGGGGGCAACCCUGAUCCAGCCAUUCCGCGUGAGUGAAGAAGGCCUUCGGGUUGUAAACCGCUUUUAGCCGGAAAGAAAAGGCCGCUCCUAAUACGGGCGGUUCUUGACGGUACCGGCGGAAUAAGCACCGGCUAACUACGUGCCAGCCGCCGCGGUAA
rnacentral:rRNA from 1 species